rnacentral:lncRNA from 1 species
CAUUGGCUGCAGGGCGCGCGGCGCAGCUGUUCUGAUUAUCAUAUUUCAGCCUCGCCGCCGCUGAGCGCCACUGACCGCUCGGCGAGCCAGCGGGAGAGGAUUAGGGCUCCCGAGGCAACUUGCUCGGGGCUCAGGCCGUUCUCCCCCGAAGCUCGGGCUGCCGGGCUGUUCUGGCUCUGGCCUCCCUCUCCUCCUCUUCCUCUUCCUUCUGUCCCCUCCCGCGUUCCUUCCCGGCCGCGCCGCCUGCGCCCUCGCCUCCUGUGGCGCUGCUCCUCCGCCCUGCGCUCCUGGGGUCCCCGCAGUCCGGCUGGCCGCGUUGCGCGCGGGGCUCACUUUCUGCCGCCGGUGGCGAGUGGCUGAACUCCUAAGUGACCAGGAACAGACGAUUUUUAACCGAGUUCUGCUGCGUGGAGCCCAGGUUGGCGCUAGUGAGUGCAGUGUGCUGACCCAAGUGGUGGUGGCCCAAGGACGCGCUGACCCGUACAUUUGGCAAAGCUUUCAUUAAAUGUAUCAGAUUCUCGCGGAAGUGGUUGCAGUCCGGAGAGUGAAACAGCUAUCUCUCAAGUCCUGACCGGUUCAGCUGAAAUCUACAUUUGCACUGAAUCUGGCAAAACACGGACGGGUCCGCCCGAGAUCUCAGGAAACCCAGAGCAAGUUACCUCCAUGUAGUUGAUCAUUCUUUCUGAAAGGACGGACACCAUUUACCCCACUGCAAUCCUGUCCAACGGGCAGCUCUGAGUUUAGCUUUAGCGCCAAAGGAUUGAUUUCCCCCACCCGCUGGAGAUUUACUGGGGACGAGCGGGGGAGGGGAGGCGAAGGUACCUCGGAGGAGGUCAAGUGGGGGAGGAGGAGGAGCAGCAGAAAAUUACCAGCCAAGCAGGGGAGGGAGUUGGAAGCCCGGAAAUAUACCAGGAUGCCUCAAGUAACCUUCCUUUAAGUCUCAGAAUUCAGCCCUCGGAAAACAGCCUCAUAAGGUGUCCUGGGAAGGAGUCCUCGGGUGGGCUGCGGAGGUGAUGUCAAGAGUUACAGCUACUUUAUGAAUUAAACUGACGGCUAAGGCAUGUCGGGACAGUUUAGUGUAAGCUGAAUGGUGCGUGGACGGGGCAACUUUUAAAGAGAGGUGGGCAAUCAUUGGUGGCAUCUACCAGUAUAUUCUGCAUGUAACAGUAGUUUGGAAGCUGAAGAAAAACCCCUCAAAUCCCAGUAAAUGCCCGGUCAGUUCGAGAGAGAUUUUAGGGACAAUUUUGAAGGUCGCUGUCUGCUCCAACUCCGCAGAGAUGAACAAGAGUGUGAACUCUGGCGCGGGUGUGUUUAGAAUUAUCUACGACUUCAGAUCCAUGCUGUUGAAACUCAUCAAUUCUUUGUGACUUCACGUGGAGAGAAGAAUUUGCCCUGCCUCCCUACCUGCUAAAUGCCGACUGAGAAAAGGGGCCCAGGAGACGACCCCUUUCAGAAAGAACGUCACUUCAUCAACUCGGCUGAGUUAUUAACUUGCUCCCCGAAAGGUCAACAACGCCUUCUCUUCUCAGCCGCACCGCGCGGAGAUCAAUCGCUUUACCCUAGGUAGCCUCUUGUUCAGGGCUCAGGAACUCCUGUCUUAAGGUCCUUCUGGGGCUCAGAAGCUGUGUUGUGUAUGUUCUUUCCAAGAAUCCCACCUGUCUGCUUUCAAGCACACACGGCGCUAGAAAUUUAGCCUAGCCUGAGUCCUGGGAUGAGAGAAGAGCUAAACAAAGAGACCCCAACCGUCCCCUUGGCCCCCUGCCCCGCCGUUUUGCAGUUUGCCAACCUUCUAGCUAGACAGCCCCCUAAGUCUCCGUGUUGCGAGUGAAAGAGAAUUUUUCUAUUUCAUCUUCCCAUUGACCGAAGCAGAAAAAUUGAACCGAAUCUACGCCCCUUGUUCUGAUUCCUGCUAGAGGAAAACAGAAAAUCAUCCCGCAGGUCUCUUUCAGUCCCUGGAUGGCGAGCGCAGCCCCUGGGAGGCCACACUUAGUUCUUUAUUGUGAAUCUCUCGCUACUCAAGUUCGUUCGGGACCAGGGCCUCGGAUGGCCUCGGUUGCCCGUAAGUACGCGAAAGAAGAGGUGAAUCCAAUCGCUGGCCUAGAGGAUAGUGAUCAGACAACCCGAGGAUUACUAAACAAGGGGCGGCGGUGUCCCUGUCUCAUGGGGUUGGCGUGGGGCGGGGGGUAGGCAGCAAGAUCCUCCAGGCUCCUGGAUGCAAAGAGUGAGAAAGAAAGCGCAGCCUCUGGCAGCCUGCUUAUAAAUGCAGCCUUUCGGAAGAUGAAACUUGCAGUCUUAGGUUGUCCUCCUUUAUAUCCAUGUUCCAAUCCUCUGGGCUUUCCUCGAAAUGAAUAAAAUUGUGGAAAUGAA